rnacentral:rRNA from 1 species
AGAACGAACGCUGGCGGCAUGCCUAAUACAUGCAAGUCGAACGAACUCUUCGGAGUUAGUGGCACACGGGUGCGUAACGCGUGGGAAUCUGCCCCUUGGUUCGGAAUAACAGUUGGAAACGACUGCUAAUACCGGAUGAUGACGAAAGUCCAAAGAUUUAUCGCCAAGGGAUGAGCCCGCGUAGGAUUAGCUAGUUGGUGAGGUAAAGGCUCACCAAGGCAACGAUCCUUAGCUGGUCUGAGAGGAUGAUCAGCCACACUGGGACUGAGACACGGCCCAGACUCCGUACGGGAGGCAGCAGGUAAGGGAAUAGUUAGGACAA